GACGAACGCUGGCGGCGUGCUUAACACAUGCGAGUCGAACGGAAAGGCCCCCACUUUUUUGGUGGGGGUGCUCGAGUGGCGAACGGGUGAGUAACACGUGGGUGAUCUGCCCUGUACUUCGGGAUAAGCUUGGGAAACUGGGUCUAAUACCGGAUAGGACCAUGGUUUAGUGUCUCAUGGUGGAAAAAUUAUUGUUUUGGUGCAGGAUGAGCUCGCGGCCUAUCAGCUUGUUGGUGGGGUAAUGGCCUACCAAGGCGUCGACGGGUAGCCGGCCUGAGAGGGUGGACGGCCACAUUGGGACUGAGAUACGGCCCAGACUCCUACGGGAGGCAGCAGUGGGGAAUAUUGCACAAUGGGCGCAAGCCUGAUGCAGCGACGCCGCGUGGGGGAUGACGGCCUUCGGGUGGUAAACUCCUUUCGUUAGGGACGAAGCCGCACCUUUUUUGGGUGUGGUGACGGUACCUUUGUGAAGAAGCACCGGCUAACUACGUG
rnacentral:rRNA from 1 species